rnacentral:rRNA from 1 species
CAGCCGCCGCGGUAAUACGUAGGGAGCGAGCGUUAUCCGGAUUUAUUGGGUGUAAAGGGUGCGUAGGUGGUUUAAUAGGUCUAAGGUCUAAGUCCGAAGCUUAACUUCGGUUCGCCUUAGAAACCGUUUUACUUGAGUAUGGUAGAGGCAAGUGGAAUUUCUAGUGUAGCGGUUAAAUGCGUAGAUAUUAGAAGGAACACCAGUGGCGAAGGCGACUUGCUGGGCCAUUACUGACGCUGAGGCACGAAAGCGUGGGGAGCAAAUAGGAUUAGAUACCCUAGUAGUCCACGCCGUAAACGAUGGAUACUAAGUGUCGGGCAACCGGUGCUGAAGUUAACACAUUAAGUAUCCCACCUGAGUAGUACGGUCGCAAGGCUGAAACUUAAAGGAAUUGACGGGCACCCGCACAAGCGGUGGAGCAUGCUGUUUAAUUCGAUGAUACGCGAAAAACCUUACCUAGACUUGACAUCCCGUUGACCAUUCUAGAAAUAGAAUUUUCCCUUUCGGGGGACAACGGUGACAGGUGGUGCAUGGCC